GCAUCGGUCGUGUAAUGGUAGUUACACGCGUCCCCGGCAUAGAUGAAGCGCGAGUUCGAUUCCCGCUUGAGGCC